GUCGAGCGGAUGCACGGACUUCUGGCUGGUGGCAAGUGGCGAACGGAUGAGUGAUGUAUCGGAACGUGACUAGUACCGGGGGAGACUACACGAAAGCAAACCUGAUACCGUAUACGCCCUACUGGGGAAAUGAGGGGAUCGCAAGACCUUGGACUAUUCGAGUGGCCCAUAUGGAAGGACCUAGUUGGUGUUGUAACGGCUCAGAGGGCCACCAUCCCUAGGUGGCUUGACAGGACCACCCUGACACUGGAUCUGACACACUGGCCCUACUCCUACGGGAGGACUCCUGGGGAAUUUUGGACAAUGGAAUCAAACCCUGAGCCCGAAAUCCUGACUGUGCGACGACGGCCUUCUGGUUGAGGCUUUUUUUGGCAAGAAUCUGUUGCGCGGAAUAAUACCCCCUAGAACUGACAGUUCCUGCCUAAUAAGCACCUAAUAACUACGUGCCAGCUAACUACGUAAUACCUACGGUGCAAAUACUUAUCGGAAUUACUGGGUCUAAAAUUAUUGCSCGC
rnacentral:rRNA from 1 species